rnacentral:rRNA from 1 species
GACGAACGCUGGCGGCGUGCUUAACACAUGCAAGUCGAACGGGAGUAUUGAAGGAGCUUGCUUUAGAGAUACUUUAGUGGCGGACGGGUGAGUAACGCGUGAGGAGCUGUCCUAUGCAGGGGGACAACAGUUGGAAACGACUGCUAAUACCCCAUAAGCCGAGAGGUAAAAGGAGCGAUCCGGCAGAGGAGGUACUCGCGUCCUAUCAGCUAGUAGGUGAGGUAACGGCUCACCUAGGCGAAGACGGGUAGCCGGCCUGAGAGGGCGAACGGCCACACUGGAACUGAGAUACGGUCCAGACUCCUACGGGAGGCAGCAGUGGGGAAUAUUGGGCAAUGGGGGCAACCCUGACCCAGCGACGCCGCGUGGGUGAAGAAAUCCCUCGGGAUGUAAAGCCCUGUUGUAUGGGAAGAGCAGAAGACGGUACCAUACGAGGAAGCCCCGGCAAACUACGUGCCAGCAGCCGCGGUAA